GCAAGUCGAGCGCACCUUCGGGUGAGCGGCGGACGGGUUAGUAACGCGUGGGAACAUACCCUUCUCUACGGAAUAGCCUCGGGAAACUGAGAGUAAUACCGUAUACGCCCUUCGGGGGAAAGAUUUAUCGGAGAAGGAUUGGCCCGCGUUAGAUUAGGUAGUUGGUGGGGUAAUGGCCUACCAAGGCGACGAUCAGUAGCUGGUUUGAGAGGACGACC
rnacentral:rRNA from 1 species